rnacentral:rRNA from 1 species
AUUGAACGCUGGCGGCAGGCCUAACACAUGCAAGUCGAGCGGAUGAAGGGAGCUUGCUCCUGGAUUCAGCGGCGGACGGGUGCGUAAUGCCUAGGAAUCUGCCUGGUAGUGGGGGAUAACGUCCGGAAACGGGCGCUAAUACCGCAUACGUCCUGAGGGAGAAAGUGGGGGAUCUUCGUACCUCACGCUAUCAGAUGAGCCUAGGUCGGAUUAGCUAGUUGGUGGGGUAAAGGCCUACCAAGGCGACGAUCCGUAACUGGUCUGAGAGGAUGAUCAGUCACACUGGAACUGAGACACGGUACAGACUCCUACGGGAGGCAGCAGUGGGGAAUAUUGGAGCAUGGGCGAAAGCCUGAUCCAGCCAUGCCGCGUGUGUGAAGAAGGUCUUCGGAUGGUAAAGCACUUUAAGUUGGGAGGAAGGGCAGUAAGUUAAUACCUUGCUGUUUUGACGUUACCAACAGAAUAAGCACCGGCUAACUUCGUG